CAUCAAACUUCGUCUCCUGUUUCUGUGUUUUCUUUUUCUAUGAAAUAAAAUAAAAAUGUAAAUAAAAUAUCAACAUUGGGUUCAUUACAAGGUCAUCAUCUAAUAACUCCACCACUGCCAGCUAGGGUCACAGAUAUUAUUGUGUUCUGUAUCAAACCAGUAAUAACUCUUACCUUAUCAAGUCGUUUCCACAAGUCUAUAUAGAGAUAAACAAUACAGUAACAUGUCAGGACAGCAGUCACUAUCAUUAGUUAGUCUAAUGUCACCAUGGUACUUACUUACUGCCCUUUAUGCCUACUGGCAUGUAGGGCAGCAACAAAGGAUCUCCAUUCCCGUCUGUUUUGGGUCAGGUUAUAACCAUGAUACAUGUUAUUAAAAUCUAUAGAUUAAACUAACAUCAUGGUUAUAACCAUGAUACAUGUUAUUAAAAUCUAUAGAUUAAACUAACAUCAUGGUUAUAACCAUGAUACAUGUUAUUUAAAUCUAUAGAUUAAACUAACAUCAUGGUUAUAACCAUGAUACAUGUUAUUAAAAUC
ensembl:lncRNA